rnacentral:lncRNA from 1 species
GCGCCACUGCACUCCAGCCUGUGCAACAGAGUGAAACUCUGUCUCGAAAGAAAAAGAAAAAAAAUUUUCAUGGUAAUUGCCUUAUUCAAGUUUCCAGCUCUAGUUGUACAUAGCAUUCUCAUUUUUAAUCUGUGUUAAGUAAUUAUUUCAUAUUCUUAAUUCUAACUUUGAUGGCUUUUUUCCUUUAAAAAAACUUUAUUGAAGUAUAAUUUACAUAUAAUAAAAUGCACCUAUUAAUUUGUACAGUUUGAUGAGCUUUCACAAAUGCCACCACCAUAAACAAGAUAUAGAACACUUCCAUCACUCAGAGAAGUACACUCAUGCCCCUUUGCAGACAAUCACUUCUACCUCUGCCCAAGGCAACCACUGAUAUACUUUGUCAAUUUAGAUGAAGAUCUCAUAUAAAUUGAAUCAUAUGGCACAUAUUCAGCAGAACAUGGUGUCACAGGAAUUCAUCCAUGUAGUUGUAUGUAUCAGUAGUUGAUGCCUUUUUAUUGCUGCAUAGUAUCUUUCCAAUAAAACAUUUUAUUCUUUUCAAAGAAUAAAAAAAUUCUUUACAAACAAUUGCUUAUCCAUUCACAAGAUGAUAAAUAUUUAGGUUAUCAUCAGGUGCUUGAGUUUUCUAUUGCUAUUGUAACAAAUAAACACAAACUUGAUGGGAUACAACGAUACAAAUUUAUCAUCUUAUAGCUCUGGAGAUAAAAAGUCCAAAAUAAGUUUCAUGGUACUAAAAUCAAGAUGUGGCAGGACUCCGUUUCUUCUGGAUGUUUAGAGGCAGUGUUUUCUUUCUUUUUCCAGCUUCUAGAGGUUCCCACAUUCCUUGGCUCCUAGGCUCCUUUCAUCUUCAAAGCCAACACAUCUUUCUCAUAGCUUCUUAUCUCUGACUUGACAAUGUCUCUUUUUUGCUCAUAGGUAGCCUUGUGAUUACAUUGGGCUUACCCAGAUCCAGGUCAUCUAGGAUAAUCUCUCUACCCAAGAUCUUUAACGUAAUCACACCUGCAAAGUCCCUUUUGCGAAGAAAGGUUGUAGAGAAGGUACUGUUCCCAUUGAAAUCAGUAACGGCCAUGUGACCUGAUUUGACUCAUGAAAUAUGUGGCCACAGAGGACAACAGAAAAGGAAGACCCUCCUGAAGAGCAAAUCCAGGGGCCACGAAAGAAAAUGAACAAGAGAAUUUUUAUUGAAGAGCAGAACCUGGGACUGCCAGAUGGACCAACUAAAGAACUCACUUCACAACUAGGGCAGUGAGUCCUCACCAUUUCUUCUCAGCAAGAGUUGGCUGCUGUAAAAUCAGAGAGAUUAUUCAUGCCUUAUGGUUAAUAAAAGUAUCUAUAGGUAACUGAACCUUGAGGAGCCAAAUUGAGGCCUGAUGAAGGAGACUGUACAUCAUCCAGAGAGAAUGAACUUGGAGCAGGAUGCAAAGACUGCAGGGGAGAAAUCAGGGUUUUUCUGCUGGAGGAAGAAGCAGAGGGUACAUAGACAUAAGGUAUCCAAAGAAGCCCACUAUAGAAGCUGGGACAGAUUGCAUACUUAUUCUCAAUUCUUCACUCCUCCCUAUGCAGUAGAGCAGAGAAAAUCGAGUAUACCUGUGACUUGCUUUGACCAGUGGAAAGUUAGAGGGGACAAGAGCACAGGCUUUAAACAUGCCCAUAUGGGACUUCUGUGCCUACCAUGAGAACAUGCCCCAUAAUUGUUAAUGCAGGGAGAAUGAGGAGAUGUGGUGCAGACUCUUAGCCAAUCCCAAGAGCUGGGUUCAAGGGUAGCCAACACUCAUCCUAGAGAAGUGUCCCCUCUGACCUGCAGACACAUGGCCAAGAAAAAUCAAUGCAUGUUGUUGUAAACCAUUGCAUUUCAAGGCUGUUUGUGAUGCAGCAUCCUGGCUAAUAAACCAGCCAGGUCUAUUCUAACAAUUGUAGCUCAGAGUAAAGAAUGUGGGCAUCUCAUCAGCAGACAUGAUCACUAAAAAGACAGAGAAAAGAUACAAUGAGAAAACUAUAAGCAAACUCUUGGAAAUCCAACGAACAAAAUAGAAGAAAGAAGAAAGAUUAAGAAAUUUCUAGAAACAUCCUACAGUGGUCGGGAAGACUGAGAUAUUAAGCCUAGGAGAUAAAAAUGGACAGGCAGAUUCAUAUCAUGCUUAAAAAGAAACUGCAAAUGAUUGAGAAGUUUUUUUUAAAGUGGAACUAUUUCAAAAGUAAGAAAUUAGUAAAGGGACAAAGUUGUUAAUGCACCAUAAACAAGUGAUCAAAAGCAGAAAAAAAAAUGAACUGCUGUGGAAAUGGACACAGUGUGAUCCUAUUUUUAGUGGACUACUUGAGUUUUUUAAAAAAUUAGGAGGAAGGUAAAAGGUUCAGAAAAUAGAAACAGAAGUGUAAAUAAUACUAUGAAAUGGGCCUAGCUGAAACAGCUCACUUUUCAAAAGAAUACAUUAAAUGAAGAAUACAGAAUGAGAUCCUUAAAAAAAGAAGUCAGGAAAGUAUUACAUAGAGUAACUGCAAAGGCCUUCUCUCCUUAUAACACGGAAAUUGAUGUAUUUGAGAAUAAGGGUAUUAAAAAAGAUCUUUAAGAGUCUACAGGAAAUAGAAGAGCUAGGACAAAGCAUGGAUGUCAUGUAGAAUAUUUUAUGAUAAACUGCUGACCUGAGCCAAUAAUUCUUGGGCUGGGGAAAAAAACUGUUUCUCUAUAGAUAGGUGGGUGGGGGUGAGGGUGGGGAGGGAAAAUUGUAAUGCUUACUUUCUAAAUAGAUUUCAAAGGAAUGCGGGAGAACACAAAGAGAACUAGCUUGCAUUGUUUUUUUUAAUAUUAGCAUUUUGUUGAUAAAACAGAAAGCAGGAAGAAAAAUAAUGAAUCAUGCAUAUAGUAAUAAAAAAGUGUGGUAGGUGAUUAACGUGUUAAGAGUCAAGGGAAGAACUCAUCAGAAGAGUAAAAGAAGAGAACUGAAAAGCAAAGGGGGACAAUCAACAAAAUGUGAACAUACAGUUUAUACGAGGAAUGCAAUCAUACAGGUACCAAUAACUCAGUUGCAAGGAAUAAUUGAAAUAUGCACAUAUAUAAAAAGUACACAUACUUUGUAUAACUUGAAAAACAUUUGAGGAUCAAAUAAAAUAAUGUAUUCGAAAAUAUUUAUAAAAAGCAUGAAGUUUUCUACAGACAAAUUAGUGGGUGCAAUACUGAGCGCUACUCCUUGAAGGUGAACAACAUAGAAAUAUUGUUCAGUGCAACUCAACAAAUGUUUAUUUAACGACUGCAAUGUACUGAGCAAAUUUUAGGCUCUGGUAAGACACAUCAGUAAUGAAGACAAACAUAUGCAUUAACUAUAUCAAGCAGGACAAAGGGCUCUAAAGAGAAUGAAUGCAGUUCUCCAAACAGAGAUCUCUGCUGUCACUAUUGAAUAUCUUGUAAACUCUCCAGAAACGUGUAUGUGCAAGCAUGUGUCUGUUUGUGCAUAUAUAUAUAUGUGUAUAUUUUAAUGCUACACAUUUGAAGAUACCUUAUUACACUAUUCAUGACUUUGUGAUUUUCUCUUAACACAGCAAUUUGGAGAUUACCCCCUUUCAGAACAUAGAGAGAGCUACUUCAUUUCUCCCAAUAGCAUAUUUUAUUGCAUGGUUGUGCCAUAAUUUAUUGAAUUACUGGCCUUUAAUGAACAAUUAUGCCAUUUCCAGUCCUUUCUUAUUCAUGUAAUGCUUAUUCAUACUGUGCUUUACAUAUGGGCUAAUAUACCUGUUAACACAAAUCUUGAGAAGUGAAAUUUCUGUCACCCGGCAAGUGAAUUUUUAAUUUUGAUACAUAGUGCCAAAUAGCCUUCAAAGUGAAACAUUCACUUAUAUUCCCACCAACAGUGCACAAAAUUGCUUUUGUCCUCAAACUUCCUGCCAAUGCCAUUUAUUAUCAAACCAUUUGAUCCUUGCAAGUACAGUAACUAAGAAGCUAUCUCAUUGCUGUUUGAAUUACAAACUACAAAUCUCAUUGUAGUUUAAAAUACAAACCAUAAUGGUCUUAUUAUGAGCAAAUAUGAGUAGGUUUUUACAUAUUUAAAACUCUUUUGAGUUUCUCUUACUGUGAAUUAUCUGUCUAUAAUCUUGGCCUAUUUUUAAAAAUUAAUAAGUUAGAAGAAAUGAGCCAAUUUUCAUAUAUCUUGGCAGGUUUUUCCAGUUUCUUAUUUUCCAUUCAAAUUUAUUUAUGGUUGUUUUAAACCAUUUUGACAUUUUGAUCUUUUUUUAAUUUUGAGAUUAUUGUAGAUUUAUUUGCAGUUUUAAGAAAUAAUACAGAGAGAAUUCCAUAUACCUUUCACCAUUUUCCCUCACUGGUAACGUUUUGCAUAACUACAGGACAAUGUCACAAGUAGGAAGUUGACACUGACACAAUGCAUCUACCUUAUUCAGAUGUCAGAUUUACAUUCACUUGUGUGUGUGUGUUAGUUCUACACAAUGUUGUCACAGUGCAAUUUCCUGUGUGCACUACUGUGGUCGAGAUACAGACUUGUGUUUCAUCGCAAGGAUUCCCUUGCUACCCUUUUCUAUUCACAGUCCCUCCUUAAGCCCUGACAAGCACACAUCUGUUCUCCAUCUCUAUAACUUGGUCACUUCAAAAAUGAAUGGAAUCAUGGAGUCUGAAUGGAAUCAUGGAGUAUGCAAUAUUCUGAGAUUGGCUUUUUCCACUCAGUGUAAUUGUCCUGCAUUUGUAAAAAAAUUGGCAUUUCGAAUUUUGGUACUAUGCUAUUUAGCUUAAGGUUCAUACCAAACUUUAAUUGUAGAUUUAAACUUUUUCAUUGUCUUUCGUUUGGUAGUUUCAUGCAGUUUUCCCUAAAGUGGACCUUGUAUAAUUUUAAUAAAAUUACUCUUGCUUGCUUUUAGUUUUAAUUUGUUUACCUAUAUUUUGCUUCCUGCCUUUAUUGAUUUUAGAUGAAUAUCAUAAUAGCACCUGUGUCAUUUUGUGGUCCAAAUUGGUGGUCUUUUAAUGAGCAAUUUUAUCUCAUUGAUAUUUACUGAUAUGGCAAUUAGCUGUGGCAUUUUAUUUCAAGUUCUACUUUCUGUAUUUAAUGCCAUUUAUUUUUGCUAUAUUGUCUAUAUUUCUUGUAUUUGCAUGUUUUACUUUUAUAAUUUGGAAAGCAUAUUCUCUUCUUCAGAUUUUCUGGUAGUAACAUAAUAUACACAUAAUAUACACAUAUAAAUAUAUAUGUAUACAUUUAAAGAAAGGACAUGAGAAAUGCACAUACAAUUCUGCAAAAGAACAAAUAGAAA